rnacentral:rRNA from 1 species
GCAAGUCGAACGAGAACGGAUUAAAGCUUGCUUUAAUUGUCAGCUAAGUGGCGCACGGGUGAGUAAUAUAUAGGUAACGUGCCUUCGAGAAGGGGAUAACGUUUGGAAACGAACGCUAAAACCCUAUAUGCCUUUAAGUCUUAAGACUGCAAGGGAAAGAUUUAUAGCUCGAAGAUCGGCCUGGACGGGAUCAGCUUGUUGGUGAGGUAAUGGCUCACCAAGACAAUGACACCUAACUGGUUUGAGAGGAUGAUC